UGGAGAAUAAAUAAAGAAACAUUAGUAUGAUUUUGAUGAAAUAACACCAAAAAGGAUAGCUUUAAGUAAAGGCAGCAGCUGUUAAUGAAUACAAUCACAAUCUUAAAUAUGCAUGAACAGUGAUUACCUGGACAGCAUCAAACAAGGUUGACACAGGCUCAUGCUCAUGUGCCCAAGGUUGUUUGAAUGACGGAAGGGAUUCUUUACGGGAGCUAACAAUUAAGCCCUAUAUAUAAAAUAUUGCAUCAGGCCAUCAGAUAAUCAGUUGAAGAAAAUAUUGUAUUAGCAAUUCUGAAUAUUCCUUUGGUAACAAACCUUUGAGUCCACCAGCCAAACCUUCUGGCGGCACUCUUCAAUCGGAGCUUUUGUCUAUAAAUCGAUCAAACCAGUAAACGUUAGCAGUAAGCACUACCAAUUAUGGAAACUGACCUUCCCACAUUCUGAAAAAUGUAGCAAGUUACCUGUUUUGAAAUCUGAAGAGCAAUGAGUUCUGCUAUGCCAGUUCCAGCCUGCAGUCAAAUACAUAAUCAGAAUCUUUUCUUCCGUGUCUCUAAAAUGAAGAAUCUCAUUGAUGGGAACAAUUUCAAUUCAACGGAUAUAUUUCAACAGUUUGACGGCAAAGGGAAAAAAAAAGUCCACCAAGAUAAGCUAUGAGCCUAUCACAGUAUCACUAACCUCC
rnacentral:lncRNA from 1 species